rnacentral:rRNA from 1 species
AGUGAACGCUGGCGGUAGGCCUAACACAUGCAAGUCGAACGGCAGCACAGUAAGAGCUUGCUCUUACGGGUGGCGAGUGGCGGACGGGUGAGGAAUACAUCGGAAUCUACUUUUUCGUGGGGGAUAACGUAGGGAAACUUACGCUAAUACCGCAUACGACCUACGGGUGAAAGCAGGGGAUCUUCGGACCUUGCGCGAUUGAAUGAGCCGAUGUCGGAUUAGCUAGUUGGCGGGGUAAAGGCCCACCAAGGCGACGAUCCGUAGCUGGUCUGAGAGGAUGAUCAGCCACACUGGAACUGAGACACGGUCCCGACGCCUACGGGAGGCAGCAGUGGGGAAUAUUGGACAAUGGGCGCAAGCCUGAUCCAGCCAUACCGCGUGGGUGAAGAAGGCCUUCGGGGUGUAAAGCCCUUUUGUUGGGAAAGAAACGCAGCAGGUUAAUAACACGCUGUUCUGACGGUACCCAAAGAAUAAGCACCGGCUAACUUCGUG